rnacentral:rRNA from 1 species
UACGUAGGGACCAAGCGUUGUUCGGAUUUACUGGGCGUAAAGGGCGCGUAGGCGGCGUGACAAGUCACUUGUGAAAUCUCUGAGCUUAACUCAGAACGGCCAAGUGAUACUGUUGUGCUAGAGUGCAGAAAGGGCAAUCGGAAUUCUUGGUGUAGCGGUGAAAUGCGUAGAUAUCAAGAGGAACACCUGAGGCGAAGGCGGGUUGCUAGGCUGACACUGACGCUGAUAGCGCGAAAGCCAGGGGAGCAAACGGG